CCUCCCCUGCGAUACGACGCUAAACUGCCCCAAACUUAACAGUUGUCUUCUUUCACUAACAGCUAACCGAUGCACCUUUUGAAUUUUUCCUAUUUAUAUCACCCAAUUGUGGAUCGCUAUCUCACAUUAAAAGACAAACUUCUCCACAAAUCGGAUAGGCCAACUUUUAUUCCUCUCCCGGAGAACCACAAUAUUUAACGCCACCAUUCAAACUCAAGGAAAAUUGUAAGAACUACCGCAAGAUGGUGUUGAAUAAAGACAAGCAAUUCAACUUUCUUGUCAGUAUUGAUAUGAAUAAUGCAAACCCACGAAGGAGUAACCACCAAUUAUAGUGAAAGAAGAAGUAAAGGCAGUGAGGCUACGAAGGAAGAGGGGCAACCAAGCCACUGAAGAUCAUCUCCAAAAAAUAAAAAAAUCGAGGCAAAAUAAAUUACUUUCUUGAUAAUGGAGCUACACAAUGACUUCCUCCUAUUGCCAAACCAAUAUAUGUAUCUUAUUACAUAAUUAAGUGUGAAUUCAUA